ACUCAAAGGAAUUGACGGGGGCCCGCACAAGCAGCGGAGCGUGUGGUUUAAUUCGAUGCGACACGAAGAACCUUACCUGGGUUUGACAUGUACGUAGUAGUGAAACGAAAGUGGAACGACCCUUCGGGGAGCGUACACAGGUGCUGCAUGGCUGUCGUCAGCUCGUGUCGUGAGAUGUUGGGUUAAGUCCCGCAACGAGCGCAACCCUUGUCGCUAGUUACAAGUGUCUAGCGAGACUGCCGGUAUCAAGCUGGAGGAAGGUGGGGAUGACGUCAAGUCAGCAUGGCCUUUAUGUCCAGGGCGACACACACGCUACAAUGGGCGGUACAACGGGAAGCGAAAGGGCGACCUGGAGCGAAUCCUAUCAAAGCCGUUCGUAGUUCAGAUUGUAGGCUGCAACUCGCCUACAUGAAGCUGGAGUUGCUAGUAACCGCAGGUCAGCUAUACUGCGGUGAAUACGUUCCCGGGCCUUGUACACACCGCCCGU
rnacentral:rRNA from 1 species